UGAAUAACAGGAAGCAAAGCUCCAAAACCAAGUCUUCGGAUUCUGUGUAUCGUCUGUGUGUCCCUGAGUGUUGAAGAUUUAAUAUUUGCUUUCUGAUUGUGUUUCAGAUUCUGGGAUAUCUUCAUUCACAUGGCGAGAAAUCCUCGGGAUGAGAAUCAAGACUGAAAAGAAAAUCUGUUUGUUUCAUCGGUGCUUCCCACAAAUAACUUGAUGGAACCCUUCUGAGUGGAGGAAUGGCAGGAGCCUAUGAACUUCAAAGAAAAACAGCAGCCAGCCCAUGAGCCCCAGCCUUACAGUGAUUCCAGCUAAAAGCUUUGGCAGGUCCAGUUUGGAUGUUGAGAAGACAAAGAAAACAAGCUGACAAGAGGUAAGUCGCUGUGUGUGCUUGGCCCUUGUGUACAUACGCUCACUAACCAUUGGCAAUGCAGCCGGGAGGCGAGCACAUGGCUGGUAAGUGAACAUCAGAGCCUCUCUUGGCUUCCCCAACUCAAUGCUUUAAUGCUAUAGUUCUUAGUGUACAAAUCUAACUAUGCAGAAACCACCACCUCUCAAAUCAAAACACAAAAGAGGUCAAAAAUAUAUUUAAAGUGACUAUAUAUAUUU